rnacentral:rRNA from 1 species
ACUCAAAGGAAUUGACGGGGGCCCGCACAAGCGGUGGAGCAUGUGGUUUAAUUCGAUGCAACGCGAAGAACCUUACCUAGGCUUGACAUGCGCCGGACAGGUGUGGAAACACACCCUCCCUUCGGGGCCGGCGUACAGGUGCUGCAUGGCUGUCGUCAGCUCGUGUCGUGAGAUGUUGGGUUAAGUCCCGCAACGAGCGCAACCCUUGUCCCUAGUUGCUAACAAGUCAAGUUGAGCACUCUAGGGAGACUGCCGUCGAUAGGACGGAGGAAGGUGGGGAUGACGUCAAGUCCUCAUGGUCCUUACGCCUAGGGCUACACACGUGCUACAAUGGCCGGUACAAAGGGUUGCAAGACCGCGAGGUGGAGCCAAUCCCAAAAAGCCGGUCUCAGUUCGGAUUGCAGUCUGCAACUCGACUGCAUGAAGUCGGAAUCGCUAGUAAUCGCUGAUCAGCAGGCAGCGGUGAAUAUGUUCCCGGGCCUUGUACACACCGCCCGU